CUUGUUGCAGCUGUGGUACGUUUUUGUAUUCAACUGUUGAAUUGAAGGCAUCCACAUUCUUGGUAAGAUCUGCAUCUGUAAUUAUUUGCUUAUCUGAUGCAUGUACAGGGACUGCAUCUAGGUUUUGUGCGACCUUUGUGACAUCAAUACUAUUGAGUCUUUCAACACACAAUUCAACAUCGGUCUGUGUUCUUUCCAUGUCUGAAUAUUUGAAAUCUGAUAAAAUGGGUAGCUCAUUGUGUUGAGUUGGGGUAUAUUUAUCUUUAGAGCCUUGUGCUGCCUCACUUGAAGAACCCUGAAGCAUGUUAGAUGGCGUGACCUUAUCGUUAUUUUCUAUAAAUUCAUUGCAAUUAUCAACGGUUACUUUUUCUUCUUCACAAAUUGCAUCUUUAGCAUCUGAGACAGCCUCUGAAGAAUUUUUUGGUAGCUUUUUUUCUAUUUCCUGCCUGAGAGUUGCUGGCAUGUGGUCCUGUUGAAUUAUAUCAAAUUCUUUUCCACAACUUGAAUCCUUUUGUUCCGUGCUUUCAUUUGGAUCUAUCUCUGCUAGAUUUUCUUUAUUUGAUAGUGCAAUGAAUUUUUCAUCCAACUCUUGCAUAUCCCCAGUUAUAUUGCUAGCUCUUUGAAGAUCUACUGGACCAACCUCCUCUGUUUUUCCCAUUUCAGAAGCCUGGAUGUGGGGUAGAUGAGGUAAGUGCUGAAGUUUGACGAGUUGAUCUUGAGUUUCUUGAUCAUCAACAGCUAACAACAUUACUUCUGCAGAUCCCUGCAUGAUUUUUGAUGUUGAAAUGGUGCAUUCCAUGGAAGUGGAUGCCUCUGUCAUUUCUUUGUAAUCGUCAUUUUCCUUUCUCUCUUCUCCAUAUUGUACUCCCAUUGUUUCUACAUCACUGGAAGCAGUUCCAGCUUUUGAUUCAUGCAUUUCAGCAUUUACUGUUAUUGCUUCAGAGUUAUGUUCCAUUGGUUGAAUGCGUUUGCUGACUGCAGGUGUUAUGACUUCUCCACUUUCAUUUGGACAUGUAGCUUCAGAAAUCUCUCUCUUGGUUGUGCC
rnacentral:lncRNA from 1 species